UGGUGCUGGUCGGAUUCACCUUCUCCCUGCGCAGCGCGGCCGCAGAAGGUACAUACGCUGAGGCGGAGUGGUGCCUAUCAAGCUCCCCUCUGCGUGAGUAUAUAUGCGUUCGUGGCUUUUCGUCGGUGUAUCUCGAGGUCCCGAUGCCACGCGAGCUGCGCUACUGCCGUCCAAGGCGCGACCCCGACGAGUCCCUACUCGCAUAUCUAUCCACGAAAUUUACCUAUCUAGCGGAGACGCAGUGGCGUCAGCACAUCGCAGCCGGUGACAUCAGCGUCAAUGGGGAGACACUCACUGAUGGGUCCUAUGUGCUCCGGCAGGGCGACAUGCUUCGCUUUGCCCCGCCGCGCUCCUUCGAGCCGCCUGUGGACAGCAAGCACAUUGAGGUCCUCUACGAAGACUCGACGCUGAUGGUUGUUACCAAGAACGGUAACCUGCCGGUCGCGGAGGGGGGUCGCUACUGCGAGAACACGCUGGUGGAGGUUCUGCGACGCCGUGGCGCUGCUGCGUUUUACACGGCCUCCACGCGUACAAGCUUCGCCGCAACACAUGAGGACACGGAGAAGGUGUCUGACACACUCACUCACGCUGGUAAAAUUGCUGAGGCCUCAGUGCGAGCUGAGGGCUCGACCGCGAUGGACGCGUGCGGCAAAGGCGCUGAAAUUGCUACUUCAUCUCCUUCCCGACGGCGCCUGGAGGACGGCUUGCACAUGACUUCCGCGGCCGGCUCAGCGCCGUGCGCCUCUGUGCCGUUGUCCGGGACACCAACAGUGCAGCAGCGAAGCCCCCUCGAUCUUUUCACAGUCCAGCGGCUGGACAAGGAAACCUCGGGUGUUGUGGUGCUUGCAAAGAACAGCUUCAGCGCAAGAACUUUGGCGUCGAGACUGGAGGCGCAGACGAAAGGCUGUACGGACGCAGUGGAGUCGCGACUGCGCGAGCGUGGCCACGCCGUGGCGCUCAGUUCCGACACUUUCGACGAGUUGGUUCGGCUCAAGGCGCAAUCAGUGCACAAGACCUACACGGCGGUGCUUCGAGGUGCCGCCCCAGAGGAACACACCUUUGUUGUGGUGAACUACAUGGACUGCAUGGCGAAGCACCCCACGCACUCAUGGGAGGCGCAACACACGCAAUUAAAGAAGCUAAAAAUGUGCUGUGAACCGAUGAAAGAGAUGCUCUUCUCGCACGCAGCAGCAUCUUUGCCGAAACCGCCCAAGGAGCAGCAGAUGCGGUGGGGCAAGUUGGCUGUAACUCGCAUUCGCGUCUUGGCGAGCAACAGGAAGCUGGGACUGACAUGCGUGCAGGUGGAGCUUCUCACCGGUCGAAGCCACCAGAUUCGCCUGCACUGCGCCGCUGUCGGUUACCCGGUGUUGGGCGACAAGCUCUACACGACGACGACACCUGGAAGAGAGGGCGGUGCCACCGCAGUGUCGGACGCGGUGUACCUCGAGCGCGUUCGGCGGGAAGAUGACCCAUUUCUCCCCAUCGAAGACGACGUCAGCGGCGCCGGUGGCACCAGCAGAAACGGCAAAAUGUGGUGCCGGCGCCACUUGCUGCACGCGACGCGGAUCACCUUUGCACAUCCAGAUAUUUCGCCGGCGCGCUUGAUGACGUUCAUGGCGUCGCCAGUGCCCUUCUUCACCGCGGAUGUGCGUUUCGAAUGCGAGGAGGACUCUUCGCUGUUCUCCCAGUGGCUCACACGUGCCGUCUCGCGGCCCCUGGAGAGGGCGGAGACUUCGCAGAACUGAACCGCAUGCGUGCGCGGGUAUGCGACGCUGCAGGCAGUGCUGUUUGAGUUUUUCCUGAUUUCUCUCUAGCUGCGUUUUCGAACCUUCCUCACUCACGUGAGUGCCGCUUUAC
rnacentral:misc_RNA from 1 species